rnacentral:rRNA from 1 species
UACAGAGGUCCCAAGCGUUGUUCGGAUUCACUGGGCGUAAAGGGUGCGUAGGCGGCCGCCUAAGUCAGUUGUGAAAUACCCCGGCUCAACCGGGGGGGUGCGAUUGAUACUGGGCGGCUCGAGUAACAGCGAGGUUGGCGGAAUUGACGGUGUAGCGGUGAAAUGCAUAGAUAUCGUCAAGAACACCGAUAGCGAAGGCAGCCAACUAGGGGUUAACUGACGCUGAGGCAACGAAA